UACAGAGGUCCCAAGCGUUGUUCGGAUUCAUUGGGCGUAAAGGGUGCGUAGGCGGCGCGGUAAGUCGGGUGUGAAAUCUCGGAGCUUAACUUCGAAACUGCAUUCGAUACUGCCGUGCUUGAGGACUGGAGAGGAGACUGGAAUUUACGGUGUAGCGGUGAAAUGCGUAGAUAUCGUAAGGAAGACCAGUGGCGGAAGGCGGGUCUCUGGACAGUUCCUGACGCUGAGGCACGAAGGCCAGGGAGGCAAACGGG
rnacentral:rRNA from 1 species